rnacentral:tRNA from 1 species
UGNGUGUAGUUUAAAAAAAA